ACGCUCGACACCUACGGGAGGCAGCAGUGGGGAAUAUUGCACAAUGGAGGAAACUCUGAUGCAGCGAUGCCGCGUGAGGGAAGAAGGUUUUCGGAUUGUAAACCUCUGUCUUUGGGGACGAUAAUGACGGUACCCAAGGAGGAAGCUCCGGCUAACUACGUGCCAGCAGCCGCGGUAAUCUGAGCGGGCUGGCAAGGC
rnacentral:rRNA from 1 species